rnacentral:sRNA from 1 species
AAACUGCUCGCUCACCAUCAACCAAAACCACACGGGGGACCAAAAUAUUAAUAGCAAUAAUAAAUGAACAGACGAUAAAGAUAAAACUAGAAAGAACCAACCCCUUCAAAGCCAGGGAACAAAAAACAAACCGACUGACCAACCUACCGACCGAUCGAUCGAAUCCACGCCGAACCAAAAAAAAAACCAUGCCAACCCCGGAAUCCGCCGCCUUCCUCGCCAAAAAGCCCACCGUAGCCCCCAGCUACGACGGCGUCGACUUCGAAGAUACCGCCGCGCUCCACAACGCGCGCGACGCCAUCAUCCGCGAGCAAUGGGUGCGCAGCAUGAUGGCGCGGCUGGUCGGGGAGGAGCUGGGCAAGUGCUACCGGCGCGAGGGCGUGAAUCAUCUGGAGAAGUGCGGGAUGUUGAGGGACCGAUAUUUCGAGCUUCUGAAGGAGGCGAAGAUUAAGGGGUAUAUGUUCCAGGAGAAGAAUUACGUCUCGA